CGGGAUGUAGCGCUGCUUGGUAUUGCACCUCGUUUGGGGCGAGGCGGUCGUAGGUUCAAAUCCUGCCAUCCCAA
rnacentral:tRNA from 1 species